GACGAACGCUGGCGGCAUGCCUAAUACAUGCAAGUCGAGCGAACAGAUGAAGUGCUUGCACUUCUGACGUUAGCGGCGAACGGGUGAGUAACACGUAAGGAAUCUACCUAUAAGCGGGGGAUAACAUUCGGAAACGGGUGCUAAUACCGCAUAAUAUCUUCUUCCGCAUGGAAGAAGAUUGAAAGACGGCUCUGCUGUCACUUAUAGAUGACCUUGCGGUGCAUUAGUUAGUUGGUGGGGUAAUGGCCUACCAAGACGAUGAUGCAUAGGCGACCUGAGAGGGUGAUCGGCCACAUUGGGACUAAGACACGGCCCAAACUCCUACGGGAGGCAGCAGUAGGGAAUCUUCCGCAAUGGGCGAAAGCCUGACGGAGCAAUGCCGCGUGAGUGAAGAAGGCCUUCGGGUCGUAAAACUCUGUUAUAAGAGAAGAACAAAUUGUAGAGUAACUGCUACAGUCUUGACGGUAUCUUAUCAGAAAGCCACGGCUAACUACGUGCCAGCAGCCGCGGUAA
rnacentral:rRNA from 1 species